rnacentral:rRNA from 1 species
GUCUUCGGCUAUGCCAUCCUGAACAAGCCCAGUGUCUGAUCUCGGAGGCUAAGCAGGAUCGGGCCUGGUUAGUACUUGGAUGGGAGACCGCUUAGGAAGACCAGGUGCUAUAGGCA